rnacentral:rRNA from 1 species
GCGAACGGGUGAGUAACACGUGGGUAACCUGCCCAUCAGAAGGGGAUAACACUUGGAAACAGGUGCUAAUACCGUAUAACAAUCGAAACCGCAUGGUUUCGGUUUGAAAGGCGCUUUUGCGUCACUGAUGGAUGGACCCGCGGUGCAUUAGCUAGUUGGUGAGGUAACGGCUCACCAAGGCAACGAUGCAUAGCCGACCUGAGAGGGUGAUCGGCCACAUUGGGACUGAGACACGGCCCAAACUCCUACGGGAGGCAGCAGUAGGGAAUCUUCGGCAAUGGACGCAAGUCUGACCGAGCAACGCCGCGUGAGUGAAGAAGGUUUUCGGAUCGUAAAACUCUGUUGUUAGAGAAGAACAAGGAUGAGAGUAGAAUGUUCAUCCCUUGACGGUAUCUAACCAGAAAGCCACGGCUAACUACGUGCCAGCAGCCGCGGUAAUACGUAGGUGGCAAGCGUUGUCCGGAUUUAUUGGGCGUAAAGCGAGCGCAGGCGGUUUCUUAAGUCUGAUGUGAAAGCCCCCGGCUCAACCGGGGAGGGUCAUUGGAAACUGGGAAACUUGAG